GACGAACGCUGGCGGCGUGGAUUAGGCAUGCAAGUCGGACGGUAUCAUCCUUUCGGGGGUGAGAGAGUGGCGAACUGGUGAGUAACACGUAGGUUAUCUACCCUCAAGACGGGGACAACCCAGGGAAACUUGGGCUAAUACCGGAUGUGAGCAACUUUUAGUUGUUUGAAAGGUGGCGUAAGCUGUCGCUUGGGGAUGAGCCUGCGUCCUAUUAGUUAGUUGGUGAGGUAACGGCUCACCUAGGCAAUGAUAGGUAGGCGGCCUUAACGGGUGGUCGCCCACACUGGGAUUGAGAUACGGCCCAGACUCCUACGGGAGGCAGCAGUCGAGAAUAGUCUACAAUGGUCGGAAGACUGAUAGUGCGACGCCGCGUGAACGAUGAAUCCCUUCGGGGUGUAAAGUUCUUUUAUAUGUGAGCAGUGCUUCUUAUAUUAACAGUAUGGGGAGAGAGAUAUUAGCAUAUGAAUAAGCAACGGCUAACUCCGUGCCAGCAGCCGCGGUAAACUCGU
rnacentral:rRNA from 1 species